rnacentral:rRNA from 1 species
AGAGAGAGACAUGCGUGCAUAUCAAUAAGCGGAGGAAAAGAAACUAACAAGGAUUCCCCUAGUAACGGCGGGUGAAGCGGGAAGAGCUCAAAUUUGAAAUCUUAAAGGGUUUCCCUUUACGAAUUGUAGUUUAAAGAAGUGUUUUCUGUUGAGGUUUUGGUAAAAGUUCUUUGGAAUAGGACAUCAUAGAGGGUGAGAAUCCCGUAUUUGACCUUUACUUUCAACUUUGUGAUACACUUUCAAAGAGUCGGAUUGUUUGGGAAUGCAGUCCAAAAUGGGUGGUAAAUUUCAUCUAAAGCUAAAUAUUGGCGAGAGACCGAUAGCGAACAAGUACCGUGAGGGAAAGAUGAAAAGAACUUAGAAAAGAGAGUUAAACAGUACGUGAAAUUGUCAAAAGGGAAGCGUUUGACACCAGUGUUGUUUUUCUGAAAAUCAAUUAAAGAACUGUUUAUGCUAAGUUGUUUAGACUUUAUCAGCUAACUGUUUAGUUUUGAGCUUUUCUUUAAUGCACUUUUCAGUUAACAAGUCAACAUCAAUUUCUUUUGCUGUAAAAAAGCUUGAGGAAGGUGGCUUGAGAUUCGUCUUAAGUGUUUAUAGCCUCUUGCCUAUGCAGUCGGAGAGAUUGAGGUCUGCAGCGUAGAUCCUUCGGGGCUAAAUGCAUUUGUGCUAAGUUAUAGCAUUUUAUAGACAACUUGUUGACUAUGAUUUGUCUUGUAGCUUACUCGCUUAUGUUAUUUUACCUACGCUUAGGAUGUUGACGCAUGAGAUAUACGC